UCCCUGAUCUUCACUUCCUUGAGAGAGGCACAAAAGAAAACUUCUCCUGGAGUCCCAGCUGGUUCUGGUCACUCCUGCUAACUCCUGAUUUGGCAGAGGCCUGGCUGUCUUUUCUGGAUCACGUCACUGCUGCUGAGUUUUUGGUACCUGACACUACUGAACUGGGCAGCUGGUAUCCCGAGGAAUGGAGAUUGGAAUCACCACAAAGAACUACUUCUAAACAGAAUGUUGAUGAAAUCAUUGAUAUAUUUGAUAUUGGGGAUAAUUGUUGAUAUCUGUGAUUUUCCCUUAAAAUACAUAUGCCAUUACCAGACUGCUUACAAUAUCAGUUCUCUGAAGAAGACAGGAGGACUGAAGCUAGUUCAAGGUUCAUGAUUUCACUCCAGUAGAUUCUGCCAGUUGAAGUCAAGUCUUGAUAGAUUUCCACUACUGUUUCUGCCCUGAAUGAAGUUAAGAGCUUGUUGAAAGUAGAUAUGAGUUUAAAACACGUAUCACAACAAUGGCAUUUCUAUUCCAGUUCUCCAUUGUGUAUGUUCAAGUGGUCCUUGCUGUUUAAACUGAAAGUGUAGAACAUCAGACUCUCAGCCAUGGUCACAAUUACUGCCAAAGUGGCUUUGAGGCUUCUGCAUAAAUAGUAGCCCAGGCCGGACAAAGGAAACUGGUGUCAACGAGUUUUAUUCCUUAUGGAGACUGUCUGGAUGCCCCAGAAGGACAUCCCAGGAUGAUUUUUUUCCCUCACUUUUUUUUUUUUUUUCCACUCAGUAGUCUCACGGUUGGCACUGAAGGCCUUGCCUUGACUAGCUCCCGCCUUUGGUCUCAAAGCUACUACUUUUAACAAAAUGUCAAGAGUCUGGCUUCCUGGCCAGCCCUAAAUACCCACCCCCAAUUUUCCCAUGGUGCCUGGAGGCAGUCCCUGAGGUAUCUUCAGACUCUCCACUGCAGAUUUAGGAAGGGGAAGGCAGUGGGGUACAGUGUGAGCCAGUCCAAUGGCUCAAGUCCCUUGGGCUUAAACCAGCUCUUUGGUUCUAACCCCAGGGCACAUUGCAGAAGACCUGGGUCCCCAGAGCGGCUCCAUUUCCGGAGACCCCACACCUCAGCCCAGUUCUCUGGUUGCCUCCAAUUGUACAGACCUAAAGGAAA
rnacentral:lncRNA from 1 species